rnacentral:rRNA from 1 species
UUGCGCAGCGCGCUACCUGCGAGUCGACGGACUCUUCGGAGUUAGUGGCGGACGGGUGAGUAACGCGUGAGAAUCUGCCUCUAGGACGGGGACAACAGAGGGAAACUUCUGCUAAUCCCGGAUAAGCCGGAAGGUGAAAGAUUUAUCGCCUAGAGAUGAGCUCGCGUCUGAUUAGCUAGUUGGUGGGGUAAAAGCUUACCAAGGCAACGAUCAGUAGCUGGUCUGAGAGGAUGAUCAGCCACACUGGGACUGAGACACGGCCCAGACUCCUACGGGAGGCAGCAGUGGGGAAUUUUCCGCAAUGGGCGCAAGCCUGACGGAGCAAGACCGCGUGGGGGAGGAAAGCCUUUGGGUUGUAAACCCCUUUUCUCAGGGAAGAAGCAAGUGACGGUACCUGAGGAAUCAGCCUCGGCUAACUCCGUGCCAGCAGCCGCGGUAAUACGGAGGAGGCAAGCGUUAUCCGGAAUGAUUGGGCGUAAAGCGUUCGUAGGUGGCAACUCAAGUCUGCUGUCAAAGACAGGAGCUCAACUCCUGAAAGGCAGUGGAAACUGAGUAGCUGGAGUGCGGUAGGGGCAGAGGGAAUUCCCGGUGUAGCGGUGAAAUGCGUAGAGAUCGGGAAGAACACCGGUGGCGAAAGCGCUCUGCUGGGCCGCAACUGACACUGAGGGACGAAAGCUAGGGGAGCGAAUGGGAUUAGAUACCCCAGUAGUCCUAGCUGUAAACGAUGGAAACUAGGUGUUGCCUGUAUCGACCCAGGCAGUGCCGUAGCUAACGCGUUAAGUUUCCCGCUUGGGGAGUACGCACGCAAGUGUGAAACUCAAAGGAAUUGACGGGGGCCCGCACAAGCGGUG